rnacentral:lncRNA from 1 species
UGGAAUAGAAAUGAGCCUAAACCAACCACACAGUAAAUUAAAGCCAACAAUAAUGGAAACUGAAGCUGAAGCACAUUCCAGGUAGAGGAAAUGCCAGCUCAGCACCUGUCUCCUAGUGCCAACUGCACAGAGCCCUGGGGAAAGGGCAAAGCGAAGACCCACUGGUCAUGCAGAGGAAUUAGAGCUGCAGAACAUAUGGUUUCUGUUUAUAUUACUUUCCUACAAAAUUGCAGAUUACUUUCAGAGGGUAAGUGAUGCAAAUAUUACAAAUUUUUGUCCCUCAGAGUCCCUAGAAUGGACAAGUUAUAAAAUGAAAACUUCCUAAAAAAUGGUAUAUUUGUAGAAGGAGAUACCGCAAUAGGAUAGAUUAUGGUUUCAAUCUGAAAUUUAAUCUUGGUUUUAAUCUGAAAAAUAAAAAAGGAAUCUUUCCUGCCCCAUAAAUCUGCCUGAAAUGCUGCUGUGAAGUCCUACUUAUCUUUAAGUUUUCCUUUUUCUAUAGCCUCAUUUGGAGCAUAUCUUCUCUGGGAAAUCAGUGGAGAACCACCAUAUGAACCUCCAGUGUUUAUGCAGUGCAUUUUAAGCUCGCUUAGACAUGGAUGAACCCAAUUGGGCACUAGGGACCCUUCAUGAAAGACAAAUGAAAAUGCUCAUGAAAUCCAUACAGAAUAGCUGAUGUACUUUUUUUUUUUUUCAUUUCACAGUUUAUUUACAUUAUCUUUUAUCCCAGUACUUGUCUCUGCACAUCAAGAGUUCCCAAGAUGGUACAGUGGGAAGCAUAAUUCCCACUUGUUUGGAUUGUUGAUUUCUUUAAAAAAAAUAUUUUUCUUUCCAGCACAUCAUGAGAGAAUCAGUCAGACUCCAAUGUGGUGUUCAAUGCAACGAUGCCCUCAUAUCGACGCUGAAUGUAUGCAGCUCUCAAAAUCCUUAAAAAACAGAAGUGCACUGUUCCAUUCUGGAGGAACAUUUUCUGUGACUGGGAAGUCUUGGCAUGUGGAACGAUUUUUGAGCAAAUACACGAUCCUCCAUCCUUGUGCUUUUGUUCUGCUCAGACACUGUGGGAAAGAACAAGGGAACGCUAUCAAGCUUUACUUUCUGAAGGUCUCAUCUGCAUGCUGUGGUUUGGUCACCUUCUGGCAGAUUCAACUUCUUGUAGACAAAGUAAAGAAGGUUUGAUCUCUCCAUCUCCUGCAAUCCUGUUUCUUUGGGCUAAAACUCCAACAUUCCAUGCAUUAUGAAAAAGGUGUGCCUCUGCCUAUAUCUUGCCUCCCUGUUGCUUUUUUUGUUUUUUUAACUUCACAAGUUAUCAGCUACAACCCCAACUUGUCAAUAAAAAUGCACUCAGUAAGCUGAAUCA